rnacentral:rRNA from 1 species
GCGUAGGAACCUACCUAGUAGUUUGGGAUAGCCCAGAGAAAUUUGGAUUAAUACCGGAUACGCCCCACGGGGGAAAGCAGAGGAUCUUCGGACUUUGCGCUAUUAGAUGGGCCUGCGUGAGAUUAGCUAGUUGGUAAGGUAAUGGCUUACCAAGGCGACGAUCUCUAGCUGGUUUGAGAGGAUGAUCAGCCACACUGGGACUGAGACACGGCCCAGACUCCUACGGGAGGCAGCAGUGGGGAAUAUUGCACAAUGGGCGAAAGCCUGAUGCAGCCAUGCCGCGUGUGUGAAGAAGGCCUU